rnacentral:rRNA from 1 species
UACAGAGGUCUCGAGCGUUGUUCGGAUUCAUUGGGCGUAAAGGGUGCGUCGGUGGCUAGGUAAGUCGGAUGUGAAAUCCCGGGGCUCAACCCCGGAACUGCAUUCGAUACUGCCUGGCUAGAGUACUGGAGAGGAGAUUGGAAUUUACGGUGUAGCAGUGAAAUGCGUAGAUAUCGUAAGGAAGACCAGUGGCGAAGGCGGAUCUCUGGACAGUUACUGACACUGAGGCACGAAGGCCAGGGGAGCAAACGGG